UGUCAUACUUUAUUUUACUCAGAAAUAUCUGGAUAUUUGAAUAAUUUAUUUUAAAUAAAUCUUCAAAUAACAAUGCUUAUAUUUUUAGAAUUCCUAAACUGUACAUCACAUUUAUAUGAUAUUUUGUAAGGAAAGAAUUUCAAGAAUACUUUGGUAUUUAUUUCAACAAGUUUAAUCUAAAUAAUUGAGUCAUAAUAAUUUUUGUUCUACAUGUAUUAUUAUGCCUUUUUGUCACUUUUUUGUGACAUUUUUCUAUGAACAAUAUUUUUAAUUCUAAUAUUUUCCAUCAAAUGAAUUUAGCCUCACCUGCAGGUUGCAUUUUGUUUAAUUUCUAGUAUCAUUAUUUUAAAACUAUGUAUACACAAAUUAUCUUUCUUAUCUCAAUUAGUAAUAUGAGCUGGUGAUAGAAAUGUAAUGUGCCAUCUGGUUUUCAUUUAUCUCUGUGUAGUGGUAAAGACAGGAAGUACCGUAAAUUAAUGUACACAGAGUUUGAGGCCAAAUUAAGGGUAGAGCAUUUCUUCUUUGUAUAUAUUUCCAUUAUAACUUAUAACAUCAAAGAUAAAAAAAAAAUAUAUAUAUAUAAUUAUUUUUUUAUUAUAAUAUAUAACAAAUAUUCAAGAUUUAGGCAAUUGAUAAUUAGGGGCAAAUUUCAAAGGGAUCACACUGUCACAAUACCCUAAGCAACCUUGAUCAACAUAUUCAAAAUUUGAACUGGACAUGAACAUGCAUGCAUAUACAACAAACAAAGAUGUCUUCUAUCAUGAACAAAGUAAUAUGAAUUUUACAAUGGAUUUAGAUCCAAAAGUUCCAACUAAUUCUAUUGACACUGGAUAGUGCAUAUGAUAGCCUUCAGUUGACAUGACUCUUGGAUUUAGGAAGAUUGGUGUUUACACAUAAUUUGGAUAACAUCUUUUGUAUUUGAAAUCAGAAAAUUCAACUUUAAGGACAGUGAGUACAGAGAAACAGAACUAAAGGAUACACAGAUAUGUUACACAACAACCUAUAGAGGACAGAGAAAAUUUUGUUUUAUUAUUAAAUCAUACUUUUUUAAA